AGUUUGAUCAUGGCUCAGGACGAACGCUGGCGGCGUGCCUAACACAUGCAAGUCGAGCGAGAGGAGUUCCUUCGGGAACAAAUCUAGCGGCGGACGGGUGAGUAACACGUGGGCAACCUGCCUUGUAGAGGGGAAUAGCCUUCCGAAAGGAAGAUUAAUACCGCAUAACAUUACAUUUUCGCAUGAAGAAGUAAUUAAAGGAGCAAUCCGCUACAAGAUGGGCCCGCGGCGCAUUAGCUAGUUGGUGAGGUAACGGCUCACCAAGGCGACGAUGCGUAGCCGACCUGGGAGGGUGAUCGGCCACAUUGGGACUGAGACACGGCCCAGACUCCUACGGGAGGCAGCAGUGGGGAAUAUUGCACAAUGGGGGAAACCCUGAUGCAGCAACGCCGCGUGAGUGAUGAAGGUUUUCGGAUCGUAAAGCUCUGUCUUCAGGGACGAUAAUGACGGUACCUGAGGAGGAAGCCACGGCUAACUACGUGCCAGCAGCCGCGGUAAUACGUAGGUGGCGAGCGUUGUCCGGAUUUACUGGGCGUAAAGGGAGCGUAGGCGGAUUUUUAAGUGAGAUGUGAAAUACCCGGGCUCAACUUGGGUGCUGCAUUUCAAACUGGAAGUCUAGAGUGCAGGAGAGGAGAGUGGAAUUCCUAGUGUAGCGGUGAAAUGCGUAGAGAUUAGGAAGAACACCAGUGGCGAAGGCGACUCUCUGGACUGUAACUGACGCUGAGGCUCGAAAGCGUGGAGAGCAAACAGGAUUAGAUACCCUGCUAUUCCACGCCGUACACGAUGAAUACUAGGUGUAGGGGUUGUCAUG
rnacentral:rRNA from 1 species